rnacentral:rRNA from 1 species
UACGAAGGGGGCUAGCGUUGCUCGGAAUCACUGGGCGUAAAGGGUGCGUAGGCGGGUUUUUAAGUCAGGGGUGAAAUCCUGGAGCUCAACUCCAGAACUGCCUUUGAUACUGAAGAUCUUGAGUCCGGGAGAGGUGAGUGGAAUUCCCAGUGUAGCGGUGAAAUGCGUAGAUAUUGGGAGGAACACCAGUGGCGAAGGCGGCUCACUGGACCGGUUCUGACGCUGAUGCGCGAAAGCGUGGGAGCAAACGGG